UUACCUGGCCUUGACAUACUAAGAACUUUCCAGAGAUGGAUUGGUGCCUUCGGGAACUUAGAUACAGGUGCUGCAUGGCUGUCGUCAGCUCGUGUCGUGAGAUUGUUGGGUUAAGUCCCGCAACGAGCGCAACCCUUUUCCUUAUUUGCCAGCGGGUUAAGCCGGGAACUUUAAGGAUACUGCCAGUGACAAACUGGAGGAAGGCGGGGACGACGUCAAGUCAUCAUGGCCCUUACGGCCAGGGCUACACACGUGCUACAAUGGUCGGUACAAAGGGUUGCUACCUCGCGAGAGGAUGCUAAUCUCAAAAAGCCGAUCGUAGUCCGGAUCGCAGUCUGCAACUCGACUGCGUGAAGUCGGAAUCGCUAGUAAUCGCGGAUCAGAAUGCCGCGGUGAAUACGUUCCCGGGCCUUGUACACACCGCCCGUCACACCAUGGGAGUUUGUUGCACCAGAAGUAGGUAGUCUAACCGCAAGUAGGACGCUUACCACGGUGUGGCCGAUGACUGGGGUGAAGUCGUAACAAGGUAAGCGUAGAUGA
rnacentral:rRNA from 1 species